AACUCAUUAAUUACAUUGAUCAAACAGACACCGCGUUAAUACUCGAAGUUUAUUAUUGACACUGUCGACGAGAUUACUUAUUCAAUAACACACUUGCAUACUGGGUAAAACAUAACAAGUGACCUGGUUUUAUUUCGUGUGUAGAAUGGUUUAUGUUCCCCCAGGAUAAAGUUUGUACGCAUUGUCGUAUAGGUAUUGCACAUGUUCAAUAUUUUCUCCCUGUACUCUGUCAAUUGUUUGUACGUUUUUUUUUUUUUCAAAGUAAAUAAUACGUCCGGUCCUCGCUACUACAGUAUUUAUUUAUCGUUUUUGUCAAAUUCGCUUUUACGCUGAACCAACGAGAAUGUAAUAAUAUGGACUGUGCCGUGAGCGAAAGAGCUUUUGCCGGCCGUUGCAGUUUAUAUAAUAAAAAUAUAAAAAAAAAAACGCCCUUGUUCGAUCGACGGAGUGCGAGAAAUAUUGUUACGAUACUUCGUGUUUUUGAAGAUGAUGCGAUAUUUUGUUUUUGACAUUUAUUGUCCGGCCGUUAUAUUAUUAUGAUGGUAUUGACAGCACUGCAGACAAAAUAUUUAUGAAAGACGAUGGAAGCUGAUGAUGACGUU